CAAAAAUAUUAUCUUUUUGUAAAACAACCGUAAAAUAACAAAACAGAACAAUUAAAAACAACAGUAAAAUAACUGUGAAAAUUUAACACAAUACACAGUAUUUUAGAAAAAAAAAAAAAAACACAGUAUUUUUUUAAAAAAAAUUGUACCCUACGGUAAAAAAGAAAAAAUAAAUUGAAAAUUCAGUAUGGUGUAAGAACCCCAAAUUAAAUCAAAUUAAACUCUAUAUUAAGAAGCCCAGGCCCAAGCCCAAGCACAGUUAGUCACAUUGUUCUUUGCUCUCUCCUUUACUCAAUCUCUCUCUGGCUUUUCUUCUAUUCUCUCUGUAAACCCUAGAAAUAUCACCAACCUCGUUCUGAUCGGAGAUCGGAGGAGAGUAGGAAUUCCGUUUCAAUCAUUGGCCGGUUAAUACAAUUACUUCAAAAGCAUUCGGAAAUUGAAGUGGAGAACGAAAAGGAUAAACUACUUAAUUAGUUUACCUUUCAUGAAGCUCAAGCUUCUAAGGAUAACUUUCAAGACAAAUUUAAAUUUUUACACUCGGCGUUUGGUUGGAGGUAAUGAAAUGGAAUGGAAUAGAAAGGAAACAAUUUUCAUUCCAUUCUUUUAUUUGGUUGCAUUUUAAAGUAUUGGAAUGGCAUUCCAAAGGAAUGCUCUUUCUACCAUUUUGGUGGAAUGGCUAUUCCAUUUUAAAAAGAAAGGAAUGACCAUCCCAAUGUAACAAGAAAAAAAAAAAUUAAAUUAUUUUUUUAUUAAUUUUUUUUUUAUGUAUUUUAAAUUUUAUUCCAUUCCUAUUCCCAUUUCUAUUCCUAUUUCUAUAUUUUCAUUCCUCCCAACUAAACGCCCCAUAGUGUAACUCUAUAACUAAAAGAGUACCAUGUAAUACAAUAAAAUGGAUUUUUAUGUGUUUGAUGA